AACGCACAUUGCACUCCUCUGGAGUAUGCCUGUUUGAGAAUCUAUAGUAUUUAUUCCCAGAAAUUUCAUUCGUGAAUGAUCUGGGAGAUAUGAAGCUCCCAUUUUUAAUGGGUUCUUUUAAAUAGAUUGCUACUAGUAAUACGAAAAUGCUUGACAUUUCUCUAUAUCUAUUAGAAAAGUAUGUGUAUGAAACUGUGGUUUCUCAUAAUGCCUAUUAUUCUAGAGGAGAUUUGGAGUUUUCAUAUGAACAGUUUAGUCCAUACCCAUAAAGGCGCAAGCCUUGAACCAUGGUCUCAAAUCAGGUAGGAAGACCCGCUGAACUUAA
rnacentral:misc_RNA from 1 species